GAUCAUGGCUCAGGAUGAACGCUAGCUACAGGCUUAACACAUGCAAGUCGAGGGGCAGCAUUUUAGUUUGCUUGCAAACUGAAGAUGGCGACCGGCGCACGGGUGAGUAACACGUAUCCAACCUGCUGAUAACUCCGGAAUAGCCUUUCGAAAGAAAGAUUAAUACCGGAUGGCAUACGAAUAUCGCAUGAUAUUUUUAUCAAGAAUUUCGGUUAUCGAUGGGGAUGCGGUU
rnacentral:rRNA from 1 species